UACUUCUGAACUGGCGUGUGACCCACAAGUACCAAUUUCCGUCUACAAAGAAGGUGUUACUUUUUCAGUUAGCACUAGCUAGGUGGUAAGAGUAUUAAGAUGUAGUUGAGUAGUGUAGCUCUUUCUGAUCAUAACAUUCUUAAUUACUGCUUUGCAGGCAAGAAAAUAAAUAUGGUCAGCUAAAAUUUGAAUGCAGGAUGCCAGCAAAAGUAUUGGCUUUCAGGAACCAGGCCAUUUCUUACAUGGUUACAGUCAUCGCCCAACAAAAUGGAAGUCUGCCAGUGUUUGUUGGAGAACUUGGGGAAGGGAAGAAGAAAAAGUAAUAUGUCAAAAAAGAUUAGUGCUGUUAUAUAAGACUAGGCUACUUGUUAAUAUUUUUCAUUUGCUAAAUUUCUGCAUUUUUUCCUCUGUUCUGCAGGGUAACUAAACUUAAGCAAAAAGACAUGACCAUGUUUUCUCCACAAGCCAGAUUGCAGUGUAAAAUACUUCAGUGCAAUGUUUUUAGUGCAUCUGUGGCAGAUGAAAUCGACUUGAAGGGUUUUAUUGCAAACAUGUCUUGAUCGAAUGCUCAAAAUAAAGAGUUUUUAAGCAUUAGAAGGUCUUUUCUU
rnacentral:lncRNA from 1 species